rnacentral:snoRNA from 11 species
ACGACCUUACUUGAACAUGAUUUGUUCUAUAGGCUCGUAACUCUGUAUGCUUAAUAUAUAUCAAUUAUUCAAAGCUU